rnacentral:rRNA from 1 species
UAAUACGGAGGGUGCAAGCGUUAUCCGGAUUUAUUAGGUUUAAAGGGUUCGCAGGCGGAAUAUUAAGUCAGUGGUGAAAGCCUAUAGCUCAACUAUAGAACUGCCAUUGAUACUGAUAUUCUUGAGUAUAGAUGAAGUGGGCGGAAUAUGUCAUGUAGCGGUGAAAUGCAUAGAUAUGACAUGGAACACCAAUUGCGAAGGCAGCUCACUAAACUAUUACUGACGCUCAGGAACGAAAGCAUGGGGAGCGAACAGGAUUAGAUACCCUGGUAGUCCAUGCCGUAAACUAUGAUCACUGGGUGUUGGCGAUAUAAUGUCAGUGUUUUAGAGAAAUCGAUAAGUGAUCCACCUGGGGAGUACGUUCGCAAGAAUG